rnacentral:lncRNA from 10 species
AUGGCAAACUCCAAUCAUAAGGCGAUCCUAUCAGGUGAUCCCAGUGUGCCCACUAAGGACUCAGGAGUGAUUUGCAUUCCCGUCUAAGUGUGCAAAAUCUUGCUACUGAACAGGAGGAGAAAACCUUGAAAAAUAUUCAAAGCUGAAUAUGGUUCAGACAGGAUCUUGCUCUGUCCCCCAGGCUGGAGUGCAGUGACGUGAUCGUAGUUCACUGCAGCCUUGAACUCCUGGGCUCAAGCAGUCCUCUCACCUCAGUCUCCCGAGUAGCUAGAACUACAGGCUAAUUUCUUAAUUUUAUUAUUUGUAGAGAUGGGUCUAUGCUGCCCAGGCUGGUCUUGAAUGCCAGGCUUCAGGGAAUCCUCCUGCCUCGACCUCCCAAAAUGCUGGGAUUACAGGCAUGAGGCACCUUGCAUGGCCCAUCUUAACCAUUUUUCAGAGGCAUUAAGUACAUACACAUUGUUGUCGGGCUGUCACCACCAUGAAUUUUUCAUUUAUAG